UGGGAAUCUCCAGGGCCCCGAGGAUGCUUGGCAUGCGAGCAGCCCUACAGGAGCUUUGGCCCGUGGAACGUGCCAGAAGAUGUGGUUAAAAACACAACAAACUCCUGGAUGCUGGGACCGUGGGUGGCACUGUUUGUUUCUGCGCUGACUUGGCGUGAGCUGUGGGCAACUCACUUAACUGCUCUGCAGGCCACUCGUCUCAUUAGCAUGGCCAUGGAUAGAGACAAGAGGACCAAGGGAAGGAAGAGGCAAUGAGAAGAAAAG